rnacentral:rRNA from 1 species
GACGAACGCUGGCGGCGUGCUUAACACAUGCAAGUCGAACGGAAAGGCCCUGCUUUUGUGGGGUGCUCGAGUGGCGAACGGGUGAGUAACAUGUGAGUAACCUGCCCUUGACUUUGGGAUAACUUCAGGAAACUGGGGCUAAUACCGGAUAGGAGCUCCUGCUGCAUGGUGGGGGUUGGAAAGUUUCGGCGGGUGGGGUUGGACUCGCGGCUUAUCAGCUUGUUUGUGGGGUAGUGGCUCACCAAGGCUUUGACUGGUAGCCGGCCUGAGAGGGUGAACGGCGACAUGGGGACUGCGAGACGGCGCAGACUCCUACGGGAGGCAGCAGUGGGGAAUAUGGCACAACGGGCGGAAGCCUGAUGCAGCAACGCCGCGUGCGGGAUGCCGGCCUUCGGGUGGUAAACCGCUUUCGCCUGUGACGAAGCGUGAGUGACGGUAAUGGGUAAAAAAGCACCGGCUAACUACGUG